rnacentral:rRNA from 1 species
AGUAAUACAUCGGAACGUGCCCAGUCGUGGGGGAUAACUACGCGAAAGCGUAGCUAAUACCGCAUACGAUCUACGGAUGAAAGCGGGGGACCGUAAGGCCUCGCGCGAUUGGAGCGGCCGAUGGCAGAUUAGGUAGUUGGUGGGGUAAAGGCUCACCAAGCCAACGAUCUGUAGCUGGUCUGAGAGGACGACCAGCCACACUGGGACUGAGACACGGCCCAG